rnacentral:rRNA from 1 species
UUCGGGACGCUGGCGAGUGGCGAACGGGUGCGUAACGCGUGGAAACCUGCCCCGAGGUGUGGGACAACAGUUGGAAACGACUGCUAAUACCGCAUAAGCCUUACGAGGGAAAGGCGCAAGUCGCCUUGGGAGGGGUCCGCGUCGGAUUAGCUAGUUGGUGGGGUAAAGGCCUACCAAGGCGAUGAUCCGUAGCUGGUCUGGGAGGAUGAUCAGCCACACUGGGACUGAGACACGGCCCAGACUCCUACGGGAGGCAGCAGUGGGGAAUAUUGCGCAAUGGGAGAAAUCCUGACGCAGCGAUACCGCGUGGGUGAAGAAGGUCUUCGGAUUGUAAAGCCCUUUCAGCAGGAAAGAUGAUGACGGUACCUGCAGAAGAAGCCCCGGCUAACUCCGUGCCAGCAGCCGCGGUAAUACGGAGGGGGCGAGCGUUGUUCGGAAUGACUGGGCGUAAAGGGCGCGUAGGCUGCUCUGCAAG